rnacentral:rRNA from 1 species
AUGACGCCGGCCUCCACGGCUCCGGCCCCCCGCGUCGCCCCGCAACGGCCGACCUCCAAGGCCCCGGCCCCUGCGCCGCCCCGCAACGGCUGGCCCCUGCCCUCCCCGUCGCGACCCUCCCUAAUCCCGCGAGAUCCGCGACAUGUCGAGCUGCCACCAUCAGAUCCCCCCACCGCGCCCCUUCUUCCUCAAUCUGGUCCGUCCCGGGGCGAGGACGGGCUCUGCUACGCCGUGAACGAGGUAACUCCACGGGCGGGGUCGGCGAGCAGAGUUGGUGCUGAAGAUCUGGCUGUUGCCGGGCUUUUCUCGUCGGAUCCAAUCGCUGUCAGACAGAUCCGCUGCAGCGCGCCGGCUGGCCGCCUUCCGCAGCCUCGCCGCAUCCUGCAUCGACCGGAGAAACCCCUUCGUGCUCCCAUCUUCCUCCCCCUACACCAGCGUUGGUGUUUUGGUGCCUCCCCCGUGCAACUCCGUUGUUGCCACAAUGAAGUUCAGCUGGCUCACUGUUGUAGCACGUCACCAGCGGUGCACACUCUGCACGCAUGUUGUCCACUUGGCGAUUGUGCAUUUCGGUGUUUACAUGCAGGUCAUAAGUUUGGUGCGGCGAGCUCUUAUAGUUCGGGGCGGCACUGGCCGAUGGAGCGCCACCACACCUGCGCCACCCCUUCAACCUCCUCCAGGGCCGCCUGGCCCUGA